rnacentral:rRNA from 1 species
ACGGAAGGCAGCAGUGGGGAAUAUUGGGCAUUGGGCGAAAGCCUGACCCAGCAACGCCGCGUGAAGGAAGAAGGUCUUCGGAUUGUAAACUUCUUUUAUGAGGGACGAAGGACGUGACGGUACCUCAUGAAUAAGCCACGGCUAACUACGUGCCAGCAGCCGCGGUAAUACGUAGGUGGCAAGCGUUAUCCGGAUUUACUGGGUGUAAAGGGCGCGUAGGCGGGAAGGCAAGUCAGGUGUGAAAUCUAUGGGCUUAACCCAGAAACUGCACUUGAAACUGUCUUGCUUGAGUGCUGGAGAGGUAGACGGAAUUCCUGGUGUAGCGGUGAAAUGCGUAGAUAUAAGGAAGAACACCAGUGGCGAAGGCGGGCUACUGGACAGUAACUGACGCUGAGGCGCGAAAGCGUGGGGAGCAAACAGGAUUAGAUACCCUGGUA